rnacentral:rRNA from 1 species
AUUGAACGCUGGCGGCAUGCCUUACACAUGCAAGUCGAACGGUAACGGGCCUUCGGGUGCCGACGAGUGGCGAACGGGUGAGUAAUGCAUCGGAACGUACCUUUCAGUGGGGGAUAACGUAGCGAAAGUUACGCUAAUACCGCAUAUUCUGUGAGCAGGAAAGCAGGGGAUCGCAAGACCUUGCGCUGAUUGAGCGGCCGAUGUCAGAUUAGCUAGUUGGUGAGGUAAGGCUCACCAAGGCGACGAUCUGUAGCGGGUCUGAGAGGAUGAUCCGCCACACUGGAACUGAGACACGGUCCAGACUCCUACGGGAGGCAGCAGUGGGGAAUUUUGGACAAUGGGGGCAACCCUGAUCCAGCCAUGCCGCGUGAGUGAAGAAGGCCUUCGGGUUGUAAAGCUCUUUCGGUCGGGAAGAAAUCGCAUGGGUUAAUACCCUGUGCGGAUGACGGUACCGGCAUAAGAAGCACCGGCUAACUACGUGCCAGCCGCCGCAGUAAAAC